AAACUAACAGAUUUACUUCGGUAAUGACGUUAGGAAAGCGAGCGGCGGAUGGGUGAGUAACACGUGGGGGACCUGCCCCAUAGUCUGGGAUACCACUUGGAAACAGGUGCUAAUACCGGAUAAGAAAGCAGAUCGCAUGAUCAGCUUUUAAAAGGCGGCGUAAGCUGUCGCUAUGGGAUGGCCCCGCGGUGCAUUAGCUAGUUGGUAAGGUAAAGGCUUACCAAGGCGAUGAUGCAUAGCCGAGUUGAGAGACUGAUCGGCCACAUUGGGACUGAGACACGGCCCAAACUCCUGCGGGAGGCAGCAGUAGGGAAUCUUCCACAAUGGACGCAAGUCUGAUGGAGCAGCGCCGCGUGAGUGAAGAAGGUUUUCGGAUCGUAAAGCUCUGUUGUUGGUGAA
rnacentral:rRNA from 1 species